rnacentral:rRNA from 1 species
GGAUUAGAUACCCUGGUAGUCCACGCCGUAAACGAUGAUAACUAGCUGUCCGGGUGCUUGGCAUUUGGGUGGCGCAGCUAACGCAUUAAGUUAUCCGCCUGGGGAGUACGGUCGCAAGAUUAAAACUCAAAGGAAUUGACGGGGGCCUGCACAAGCGGUGGAGCAUGUGGUUUAAUUCGAAGCAACGCGCAGAACCUUACCAGCGUUUGACAUGGCAGGACGGCUGGCAGAGAUGCCUUCCUUCCCUUCGGGGACCUGCACACAGGUGCUGCAUGGCUGUCGUCAGCUCGUGCCG